rnacentral:snoRNA from 1 species
AAUCCGUGGUGCAGGCAACAUCGAAGUAAGUCCUUAUACCUCUUCCAAGCAUCAUACAUGUUCUCAUUAUUGAACUACAUAAAAGAAGAUAUGUCAUUUCUCAAUCU